rnacentral:lncRNA from 1 species
AGUGCGUGUCAAUCUGGAGAUAGCAGGCUAUCUGAGGGUAAAGAGGAUCAAUGGAGUAAGUCUCGGGUAGCAUUUAUAACAAGGAAUCGAAUGGACACACAGACACCGAAUGUGGUUCCAAGUGCAGUCCUGAAGGCUGGAGUCUGCCAGGAGCCCUGAGAAUGGUCUCAGACCCCAGGUGCUCCAGGCUUGGCUGUGGUUCACACUGAGCUCCUGCGCUUCAUGAGGCCGCGGAAGGUAGCCAGGCUGUGCAGGCCCGUGGACACGGAGCUGAUGGCCGAGCGUUGC